GCUCGUAGUCGGAUUUCGGGGCGGGCCGAGCGGUCUGCCGAUGGGUAUGCACUGUUCGGCGCGUCCUUCUUUCCGGAGACCGCGCCUACUCUUAGCUGAGCGGGCGCGGGAGACGGAUCGUUUACUUUGAAAAAAUCAGAGUGUUUCAAGCAGGCAGCUCGCUCUUGCAUGGAUUAGCAUGGGAUAAUGAAAUAGGACUCUGGUGCUAUUUUGUUGGUUUCGAACACCGGAGUAAUGAUUAACAGGGACAGUCAGGGGCACUCGUAUUCCGUCGAGAGAGGUGAAAUUCUCAGACCAAUGGAAGACGAACCACUGCGAAAGCAUUUGCCAGGGAUGUUUUCACUGAUCAAGAACGAAAGUUAGGGGAUCGAAGACGAUCAGAUACCGUCGUAGUCUUAACCAUAAACCAUGCCGACUAGGGAUUGGAGGGUGUUCUAUUUGACCUCUUCAGCACCUUACGGGAAACUAAAGUCUUUGGGUUCCGGGGGGAGUAUGGUCGCAAGGCUGAAACUUAAAGGAAUUGACGGAAGGGCACCACCAGGAGUGGAGCCUGCGGCUUAAUUUGACUCAACACGGGGAAACUUACCAGGUCCAGACAUUGUUAGGAUUGACAGAUUGAGAGCUCUUUCUUGAUUCGAUGGGUGGUGGUGCAUGGCCGUUCUUAGUUGGUGGAGUGAUUUGUCUGGUUAAUUCCGUUAACGAACGAGACCUUAACCUGCUAAAUAGUGGCGCGAACUUUUUGUUGGCGGCUCACUUCUUAGAGGGACAACUUGUUUGCAACAAGUGGAAGUUUGAGGCAAUAACAGGUCUGUGAUGCCCUUAGAUGUUC
rnacentral:rRNA from 1 species